rnacentral:rRNA from 1 species
GACGAACGCUGGCGGCGUGCUUAACACAUGCAAGUCGAACGGAAAGGCCCCCAUCUUGGCGGGGGUGCUCGAGUGGCGAACGGGUGAGUAACACGUGGGUGAUCUGGCCUGUAAUUAGGGAUAAGCUUGGGAAACUGGGUCUAAUACCGGCUAGGACCAUGGUUUAGUGUCUCAUGGUGGAAAGUUUAUUGUUUUGGUUUAGGAUGAGCUCGCGGCCUAUCAGCUUGUUGGUGGGGUAAUGGCCUACCAAGGCGUCGACGGGUGGCCGGCCUGAGAGGGUGGACGGCCACAUUGGGACUGAGAUACGGCCCAGACUCCUACGGGAGGCAGCAGUGGGGAAUAUUGCACAAUGAGCGCAAGCCUGAUGCAGCGACGCCGCGUGGGGGAUGACGGCCUUCGGGUUGUAAACUCCUUUCGUUAGGGACGAAGCCACGCUUUUUGGGUGUGGUGACGGUACCUUUGUGAAGAAGCACCGGCUAACUACGUG